AUUGAACGCUGGCGGCAGGCCUAACACAUGCAAGUCGCGCGAGCGGCGGACGGGUUAGUAAUGUAUGGGGACUGCCCGAUAGAGGGGGAUAACUACUGGAACCGGUGACUAAUACCGCAUACUAUCGGAUAACCCAUAUGGGAUUAGUGAGUAGGUGGGGCAAAGGCUCACCUAGGGGACAAUCUCUAGCUGUUCUGGGAGGAUGAUCAUCCACAAUGGGAGUUAUACACGGCCCAGACUCCUACGGAGGCAGCAGUGGGGAAUAGUGCACAAUGUGCGCAAGCCUGAUGCAGCCAUGCCGCGGGUAUGAAGAAGGCUUUAGGGUUGUAAAGUACUUUCAGUGGGGAGGCGUUACCCGCAGAAGAAGCACCGGCUAACUCCGUGCCAGCAGCCGCGGUAAUAC
rnacentral:rRNA from 1 species